rnacentral:rRNA from 1 species
AUUGAACGCUGGCGGAAUGCUUUACACAUGCAAGUCGAACGGUAGAGGGGGCAACCCCUCGAGAGUGGCGAACGGGUGAGUAAUAUAUCGGAACGUGCCCAGUCGUGGGGGAUAACGUAGCGAAAGUUACGCUAAUACCGCAUACGAUCUAAGGAUGAAAGCGGGGGAUCGCAAGACCUCGCGCGAUUGGAGCGGCCGAUAUCAGAUUAGGUAGUUGGUGGGGUAAAGGCUAACCAAGCCAACGAUCUGUAGCUGGUCUGAGAGGACGACCAGCCACACUGGAACUGAGACACGGUCCAGACUCCUACGGGAGGCAGCAGUGGGGAAUUUUGGACAAUGGACGCAAGUCUGAUCCAGCCAUUCCGCGUGCAGGAUGAGGGCCCUCGGGUUGUAAACUGCUUUUGUACGGAACGAAAAGGUCUCUCUUAAUACGGGGGACUCAUGACGGUACCGUAAGAAUAAGCACCGGCUAACUACGUGCCAGCAGCAGCCGCCG